CGGGAGGACCUGGAGUGACGGGAGGAGGAGAGAGGAGGAGGAGGAGAGAGGGAGAGGAGCAGUCAUUAUGAAGACCGCUGUGUGAACGUGUGAAACAACAGCCUCUGGGUUGAUGAAAAUAUUGACACGCUGGUAAGAUGCCUCUAAAUAUCACCGAGGCUCCACGGAGCGGCUGGUGACUACAGCGAGGUCAGCCGCAGCCUGUUCAGGUACAGCUGCUCCUCCAGGGCCUCGGAGGGGAAGAAGAGGCCGCCCGGCAACGCGGCAGAGAAGCUGACGUUCAGGAUCCCUCCCGGCGCCGCGUCCAGAUCCGGCUGGA